ensembl:lncRNA
AAAUUAAUGAAGAGUUAGAAGACACAUAAAAUUCUACACAAUUUAUCUUAAAUCAUGCAAAUCCACACUCAUACAAACAAACUGCAAUUAAGAGAAAUGUUGGGCAGGCAAGAGGGCCCAGCAGGUUUAAGAACCUACUAGCAAGCCUGAUGAUCUGAGUUCAAUCCCCUGAACUCACAUGGCGGGAAGAGAAAACAGACUCCAAGUUGUCUUGUGACCUCCACAUUUGCACACACCCAUCAAACUUGGAUGCACACACAUAUAAUAAAUGUUAAAACUCCCAAUGAGAAAAAGUGUUAAGGCCAGGCAGUGGUGGGGAAUGCCUUUAAUCCCAGCACUUGAGAAGCAGGUGGAUCUAUGUGAGUUGGAGGCCAGCCUGAUCUACAGAGUGAGUUCCAGGAUAGCCAAGGCUACACCGAGAAACCCUGUCUUGAAAUAAAAAACAAAAACAAGCAAAAAACAACAAAACAAAACAACACCAAAAAUUUAUUGGAAUAGUUUAAAAUGUGAACAGAAUACUGGGUUUGUAAAAUGCCUUUAUUUCAGUCCUGGCCCUGAGACUGUCUUGUGCCUGAGAUAUCAUCGUUGUGGUUAGCUGCCUUUUGAGCCCCAUCUCUAACCUUAAGUGCUUUGACACAUGGCCCUCUGCGUUCGUGGUUGAUUGGCACAAUCAUCCUACAUACACAGCGUCCCUUGAGGCAGUGGUGGCACAAGGCCUCAGUAGGGUUGAGGGGCCUGGCUCUGUCAGCUUCUGUGUCUGGCAGUUCUCUAUGUCCGGGUGCAUCCACAUCUUGGGAAUCACCUAAAACCAGAAUGAUCUGCAGAGACCUCAAGGAAGAUUACCAGCGCCAACUCAGUGUUAUUCUGUGGGUCUCAUCCUCCAUGACAGGGCUUGGUAGACUCUGGUCUCCGAGACAAAUCUAGAUGUUGAUAGUAUUCAGAAAUGAUGUGUUCUUGGAGCACAGCUGUGUUUACUUAUUUUAAUAUUCUCUCUAACUUCUUUCCUGCCACAGUGGCAGAAUGAAGUAAGUUGCUGUAAAAGAGACCUCCACAACUCACAAAACAGCCACAUUUACUAUCUGAUCAUUCAUAGGACAAAUUUACCAAUUUUUGCCGCAGUUGGCUAGCCUUGGGAUAUCACCAUGAUUAUGACAAAGAAAUAGGGGAGGAAAUGGAGUCCUAUAAACUGCCUUCCAAGAAAACAUCAGUCUGUCAUGCCAACUAACAUGCCAAUAAACGAAGAAAGUCCUAUGCCAUACAGCUGACCUCAAAAUCAAAGUGUUUAGACUCAGGUUCCCGAGUGGCAGCAACCUCAGCAUCACAAGGCACACGGUAGGUAUGUAUGCAUGGAGAAAUGAUUGAUGGGAAAAAUAGUCCAUGCCCACUUUGUGAUGCUGUUAGGAAGUUCAAUCCAGACACAAACACAAGCAUCAUUGAAAUCUAAAAUCUCAUGCCAUGAAAGCAGUCUUUGCUCUAACGAGUUAGUCAUCAUUUGAUCAGAUUAAUUGUAACCUGGGGUAUGCUCUGUGUGAUAACAAUGGUUACAACUAAGCUUAAAAAAUGCAAGCAUAUGAAUUUGCCCCCCCCAUUUGCAACAUGCCGCCUUAGGAAGACAGAUGGGAUAAGAACAAAUAUUUGGAUAGCCUUAUCGCCUCCAUAACCAAGUUGGUUCCCAAACUGUGCCCCGUCUGUUCUCUUGAAAUUAUCAUCUGCACCCUGCUCCCAACCAAGCAGUUCAUAAAAUUUAAUGUUUUUUGUUUUACUGUCAGUGUAGUCAAUGUAGAUCAGAGAACGUUGCUGGCCUAAAUGUGAAUGACCAUGUUGGUGUUUGCUGUAUGACUAGUAUUAGUCAAUGGCCUAAAUUAAUCAUGAAAAUAAAUUAAUGCUACAUUAAAUUUUUGAGUUACUUAAUCUAUAAUCUUAAUAGCUAAUAUGGCAGCAUUUUUUCCUCUUUAUAACUUACCCUUUGUAACACUGUAUUUAGAGAUGGGAUCCCAGACUUUCUUCUAAUGACUUCUUUCUCACCACCCCCCCCCCAGCAACAGAUGACUCACCUCCUGCUCUCUCCAUUACAGUGAAGUAGAUGAUGGAAAUGGUCAGUGACUCUGAAAAUUCUAUCCUGGAGGAAAUGCAAUUAAUUAACAAGAUCUGAGUGCAUUUUCUUUGGAAUCUGGAGGUCUGAAUAUCUUCAUCAUGGGUAUCCUUGUCUCUUAACACUGAAAUUGUAAAUGAAGUGUUUGGCAGUCUGGAGAGAUGGCUCAAUGGUAAGGCACCUGCUGUGUAUGCAUGAGGACCAGAGUUCAGAUCCCCAGUACACAGGCAAAAGCCACACACAGUGGUACUUGUCUAUCAGCCCCAUGAUGUAGGAGUGGAGACAGGUCAUCCCUGAAACUUCCUAGUCAACCACUCUAGCUUAGCUGGUGAGUUACAAUAUUGGUGAAACAAAUAAAUUGCUGAAGAUUGGUGUCUCAGUACUAGUAUUGCUGUGAUGCAACACUAUGACCAAAGAAACACUGGGGAGGGAAGUAUGUACUGUUAGGAGGAAAGGAUGUCCAAC